ensembl:lncRNA
GCUGUACACCUGCUCUGUUCAGUAGUUGCAAGCUCGUUGUUUUCUGGGCAGUUCAGAUGCCUCACCAAGAUGAAGUUCCCAGUUGAAGACAUGUGGCUGUGCCCUGUGAACUUUGGUACACACUGGAUUCUUGUGAUUGUCAACAUUUCUGCACAGAAAAUACUGCUCAUAGACCCCAUGGGGAAUGAAGGUGUUUAUGACAGGAAAAUUCUGCGCAACUGGAGGAAUUUUCUGAGGAUGAGAGGGCAUGAAGACACCAUGGAGUGGCAGUUACACACUAUGCAACACAACAAGCAACAGGAUUCCAGCAGUUGCGGAGUUUUGCUGUUAAAGUUUGCAGAACAGUACCUUGCUUUUGGAGAGGUCAGUGAGGUGUUAACCACUACAGAAGCAGUUGUGCUGGAGCGAAUGCAGAUAGCUUGCACCCUACUUGAACAUCGAGGGAACGCUGAGGACUACUGCAUUGUUUGCUCUAUGUUAGAUGCUGAUGCUGACCGCAGCAUGAUUGAAAUGGUGCAGUGUGAAUCUUGCCAAAGAUGGGCACAUUUUGCAUGUGCAAAAUAUAAAGAGAGCAAUCAAGAAUAUAAAUGCAAAAAAUGUAAGGAAAACACAUAACAACUUCAAAUAAAAACACCUGUCUUUUCCCCUCCAUGUCUCUUUGUAUUCUUUGUCAACAUUAGAUGAUUGUGUGCUGGAGGCACGUUUUGAUAGUGUGAUUUGGCCAUCUGAACGUCCUACCUAAAUAAAUCCAAGCA